rnacentral:misc_RNA from 1 species
GAUGAAGAACGUAGUGAAAUGCGAAAAGUAAUGUGAAUUGCAGAAUUCAGUGAACCAUCGAAUCUUUGAACGCACAUUGCGCCCGCUGGAACUCCGGCGGGCACGCCUGUCCGAGCGUCAUUUCAACCCUCAGGCCCCCUUCGCGGGCGGGCCUGGUGUCGGGGCCCGGCCGCUACCCUGCGGCCGUCCCCUAAAUCCAGUGGCGGCCUCGCCGUGAUCCCUUGCGUAGUAAUGCACCUCGCACCGGAGAGCGCCGUGGCCACGCCGUAAAACCCCCAAUUUUCAAUGGUUGACCUCGGAUCAGGUGGGAAUACCCGCUGAACUUAAGCAUAUCAAUAAGCGGAGGA